UGGGUAACCUGCCUCAAAGAGGGGAAUAGCCUCCCGAAAGGGAGAUUAAUACCGCAUAAUAUGUUUUAAUCGUAUGAUUUUAACAUCAAAGGAUUUUCUUAGGAAAUUCCACUUUGAGAUGGACCCGCGGCGCAUUAGCUAGUUGGUGAGGUAACGGCUCACCAAGGCAACGAUGCGUAGCCGACCUGAGAGGGUGAUCGGCCACAUUGGAACUGAGACACGGUCCAGACUCCGUACGGGAGCAG
rnacentral:rRNA from 1 species